UGGAGCAAAAGCGCAACUGACGGUACUUGUCCGUGAGGACAAGAGCUGAGGAAACUCCCGACUCGUGUCGACACCGGUCUUGUGAAAGCAAGGAGGCGAGAGUCUCGCUCUGGGAACAGAAACGACACCCCCAAAUGAGAAACGACAAUGAUACAGAACCUAAAUCUGUUGAGAACUCAGUUGGACAGGUUUAAACGACCCACCACCGGUUGAGCAAUUCCAAGAAUACACUGUUGAAGUGUCGGCCUGAGGUGUAGGGUAGGAAGCAUAGUUCGAUGUUGCAAGAUCCAAGACUGGCGACAGUCAUGGGUGGAACAGAAUUGGGGUUACUCACUGGACCA
rnacentral:RNase_P_RNA from 1 species